AGAUGCCGUCAGAGAGCCCCGGGGUGCAGAUCCUUGGGAGCCCUGUUAGACUCUGGAUUUUACACUUGGAGUGAACGGGCGCCAUCCCGAGGCUUUGCACAGGGGCAAGCUUCG